rnacentral:misc_RNA from 1 species
AAGUGAUGAAGAACAAGUUCUCAAUUCACUACGGCCACAUCAAAGUCUGUCAGGCCUUUCAAUUAUAUCAUUUGGUGGAAGGAAAUUCCCACCGUGGCUAGGAGAUCCUUCAUUCACUAGCAUAGUAGAGGUGAAUCUGAGCCAUUGUUCUCAAAUCACAUCGUUGCCACCACUUGGACGACUACAGUCACUAAAAAAGUUGAGCAUAG